UGGUCAGAAAUGUCACGAUGGUUGAAAUUGUGUUAUAUUGGAAAUUAUACCGGACUAGGUUAAGAUGUUGAGAACUAGGUUAAAUCGGGAAAGUUAGAAAAUUACCAAAAUGCCCCUAGGUUAUUUUAAAGUUUAAUUUCUUUGGGGGGUAAAUUAGUCAUUUUGUAUAAUAGGUAUUUUGACUUUCUAGACUUUGUGGGCUGCCCACUAUUAUUAAAAAAAAAGAAAGAAAGAAAAUAAUAAGAAACCCUAUUUAAGGGAAAAGCUUCCAAGGCAAGAAACAAAACUUUUUCUUCUUCUCCUUCUUCUUCCCUUCGUGUGAACCAAAAACCAGCCAGCAAAGGAUCAAAACUUCACCAUUUCUCUUGAAUUGAAGUAGCUUGUAGAACCUAAGCACAACCUAGAAGCAAUCAAGGACUCGAAAGUGUCGGGCAUCGUUCCACUCAGGUCGGCCCACAUACUUGACUUUGGACUUGAGGUAAGAAGAUUAGCGGUUCUUUUGGCCACGAGUCAGAGGUCUCCCAGCAAUGUACAUAUCAACCGUGUUGUCUUGGCUUCCAGGAAGCAGGAUCACCCCUUUUUCUAUGAUUGGAUGUAUAACCUACUCUUGUAUUAAUGGUUUUAUAAUUGGUUAUAAAAGAAUUUUAUUAGCAGGGGAUCCCCAUAUUACGACAGUAUUUUGAACUAAAGUUUCUAUUUUAAAUUUAAUUAAAGAUAAUAUA